UGGCGGGAAAGGACGUUCCCUAGUCGGCUCGACGCUUCAACACCAUCAAUAAGAGCCUGCCCACGGCCUCGGCGGUGGUUUCCUGAGUAACAGAGGGUCGAAGAACCCCUGAGCAACGCGACACCGGAAGGGCUAGGAAGAAAAAAUACAUGGAAUGAGGAAGCAGACCACUCCUGCCUUCGAAAUCCUCUUCGUGAGGUUUGUAGAAUUCCUAAGAACUCAGGAAAGACAUCAGCAGAGGGCAAUGACCGUCAUAGCCAGACCUUCCCAGCUCACACUGACUCCUCCUUCUCUGAACCCCUACAGAUGCACUGUCACCUCCGUUCAUACAGUGUUUACUUGGUCCUUUCAGUCCCAUGGGGUUUAGAGAUCUGUUCUCCUAACAGCUUCUUGCCUAUUUCACACGGCCUAUUGCAAAACUAGCUCCACACAGACGGCACCCACCCCAGCUACUUGUCGAAUUACAACCUGAUGAUGGAGCCACUGGAAACUAAGAAUGGAAAGGCUGUAAAGAAAUCACAGCAUUCACCUGCUGGAAGAAAAAGACUAUUUCUAAGAAAGUAAAAUAAAUGGAUAAAAGCACUUAAAAAGGAGCAUAAUGCAUAACUCCCAGUCUUGACCUGGAUCUCUAUCAAAUCCUCUCCCUGUCACAGAUGCUCUUUCUACCUUAAAUGAAUCCUAUUUUGGCUGAGAAAAUAGUUGUGUGCCUGUGGGUAAAUGACUAAACUCUUUUCACCUCCCUAAGUUAUGCAGGGUGUUAGCCGCUUACUGGCAAGAAGUCUCACUCUAUAAAGGGGCAUUCUGCCUCCUCAUUUAAGGGUUUCAUGUGUAGGGUGUGGGAUACUCUCUUGCUGAGUAGGUGGCCAAGAGAAAAAUACCUCUAGUUUAUUUCUUCUGGAAGUCAUCAGAUGAAACUACCAGCAUUGCUGGGGGUGGUGGCUCAUGCCUGU